rnacentral:rRNA from 1 species
UACGGAGGGUCCAAGCGUUAUCCGGAAUCAUUGGGUUUAAAGGGUCCGUAGGCGGUUUUGUAAGUCAGUGGUGAAAGCCCAUCGCUCAACGGUGGAACGGCCAUUGAUACUGCAAGACUUGAAUUAUUAGGAAGUAACUAGAAUAUGUAGUGUAGCGGUGAAAUGCUUAGAGAUUACAUGGAAUACCAAUUGCGAAGGCAGGUUACUACUAAUGGAUUGACGCUGAUGGACGAAAGCGUGGGGGAGCGAACAGGG